rnacentral:rRNA from 1 species
UGGGAUAACUCCGGGAAACCGGGGCUAAUACCGGAUAACAUUUUGAACCGCAUGGUUCGAAAUUGAAAGGCGGCUUCGGCUGUCACUUAUGGAUGGACCCGCGUCGCAUUAGCUAGUUGGUGAGGUAACGGCUCACCAAGGCAACGAUGCGUAGCCGACCUGAGAGGGUGAUCGGCCACACUGGGACUGAGACACGGCCCAGACUCCUACGGGAGGCAGCAGUAGGGAAUCUUCCGCAAUGGACGAAAGUCUGACGGAGCAACGCCGCGUGAGUGAUGAAGGCUUUCGGGUCGUAAAACUCUGUUGUUAGGGAAGAACAAGUGCUAGUUGAAUAAGCUGGCACCUUGACGGUACCUAACCAGAAAGCCACGGCUA